rnacentral:rRNA from 1 species
UACGGAGGGAGCUAGCGUUGUUCGGAAUUACUGGGCGUAAAGCGCACGUAGGCGGCUUUGUAAGUUAGAGGUGAAAGCCCGGGGCUCAACUCCGGAACUGCCUUUAAGACUGCAUCGCUUGAAUCCAGGAGAGGUGAGUGGAAUUCCGAGUGUAGAGGUGAAAUUCGUAGAUAUUGGGAAGAACACCGGUGGCGAAGGCGGCUCUCUGGACCGACACUGACGCUGAGGCGCGAAAGCGUGGGGAGCAAACAGG